rnacentral:lncRNA from 1 species
CACUAGUAACCCGAAUUUAGCUUGAACGGACAAAAACGUGUUAACGCUAUUUAAAUGAGAUUAAUUGUUAUUUGAUAAAGAUUGACAAAAAUUAAAAAAUAUUUUUAAUUCAUUUCAAUUCAUUUCAAUUCAUUUUAACGCCAGUCAAAUAGAUUUCUUUGCGGUGAAUCAAUUAAAAUCAAGUUGCUGGUAAUGUACGUCAAACUAUUAGGCCACGCCCCCGUUAAACUAUUUCAAACUGGCAUCAAUUCGUUUUAAACAUCGUUGAGACCCGAGCUUUGUACAGGUAAAUCACUCAAGCAAGACAAACUUCAUUUAUUUAUCUUUUUUUUUUCAUCAAAUUUAAUCGAAUUUAGUUAUAUGCGUGUAUUCUCAGUUAAGUCGCAUGCUUCACAAUUUUUAACAAAUGAAUAAAAGAAAUUUAGAUAAACACAUUAAAAUAUUGAUGCACGGUUUAAGAAAUGUGAAUCUGUUGAAAAUAAAAUAGUAGUAUAACAUAAUUUGA